GGCCCGGUAGCAGAUGGUCCGCACUUGCUUUCAAUACAAAGUUAGACUGCGUGCAUGCAGGACCCGCUCGUUCUAUUCGAGCCUGGGCCA